rnacentral:rRNA from 1 species
GACGAACGCUGGCGGCGUGCUUAACACAUGCAAGUCGAGCGAUGAAGCACCUUCGGGUGUGGAUUAGCGGCGAACGGGUGAGGAACACGUGAGGAAUCUGCCUUCCACUCUGGGAUAACUCCGGGAAACCGGGGCUAAUACCGGAUAUUUUCAACUGGCGGCAUCGCCGGUUGAAGAAAGUUUUUCGGUGGAAGAUGACCUCGCGGCCUAUCAGCUUGUUGGUGAGGUAAAGGCUCACCAAGGCGACGACGGGUAGCCGGCCUGAGAGGGUGACCGGCCACACUGGGACUGAGACACGGCCCAGACUCCUACGGGAGGCAGCAGUGGGGAAUAUUGGGCAAUGGAGGAAACUCUGACCCAGCGACGCCGCGUGAGGGAUGAAGGCCUUCGGGUUGUAAACCUCUUUCAGCAGGGAAUAAGCGAAAGUGAAGGUACCUGCAGAAGAAGCACCGGCUAACUAUGUGCCAGCCGCCGCGGUAA